CCAACACCACCAGUUGGGUCUACCAUCUUUCAUUGGCCAAAAUGGGUCAAAAAACCCCAAAUUUGGGGACUUUUGGGGUGUUUUCCCUUCCAAACACCACCAGUUGGGUCUCCCUUCUUCCCGUUGGCCAAAAUGGGUCAAAAAACCCCAAAAUUGGGCACUUUUGGGGUGUGUUUUCCCCCCAAAGCCCACACAUUGGAUCUCCCAACACCACCAGUUUGGUCUCCCUACUUCCAAUUGGCCAAAAUGAGUCCAAAAACCCCAAAUUUGGGCACUUCUGAGGUGUGUUUUCCCCCCAAAUACCACCAGUUGGGUCUACUUUCUUCCCGUUGGCCAAAAUGGGUCAAAAAAUCCCAAAAUUGGGCACUUUUGGGGUGUGUUUUCCCCCCAAAUCACCACCAGUUGGGUCUCCCUACUUCCCGUUGGCCAAAAUAGGUCAAAAAAACCCCAAAUUGGGCACUUUUGGGGUGUUUUCCCCCCCAAACCCCACACAUUGGAUCUCCCAACACCACCAGUUGGCUCUACCAUCUUUCAUUGCCCAAAAUGGGUCAAAAAACCCCAAAUUUGGGCACUUUUGGGGUGUUUUCCCCCCCAAACCCCAAACAUUGGAUCUCCCAACACCACCAGUUGGGUCUACCAUCUUUCAUUGGCCAAAAUGGGUCAAAAAACCCCAAAAUUGGGCACUUUCGAGGUGUGUUUUCCCCCCAAACCCCACACAUUGGAUCUCCCAACACAACUGGUUGGCUCUACCAUCUUUCAUUGGCCAAAAUGGGUCCAAAAACCCCAAAUUGGGGCACUUUUGAGGUGUGUUUUCCCCCCAAAUCACCACCAGUUGGGUCUCCCAUCUUUCAUUGGCCAAAAUGGGUCCAAAAACCCCAAAUUUGGGCACUUUUGAGGUGCGUUUUCCCCCCAAAUCACCACCAGUUGGGUCUCCCAUCUUUCAUUGGCCAAAAUGGGUCAAAAAACCCCAAAAUUGGGCACUUUUGGGGUGUUUUCCCCCCCCAAAGUCCCCCCACCCGGUUGGGGGCAGCCAUGAGAACCGCUUGGGUUGGAGCCGCCCCAUUCAACCCCAUUAUGGGGUUGGGGGGGGUCUCAAUUCUGUGCCCCCCACCCCAAUAUAUCCCCUAUAUCCUCCCCCCCCCCCUCCCCCCAACCCCAAACCUGAGGAUUUUGGGGGUAUUUUGGGGGUCAUUUUGAGGGUUUUCUGCCCCGGAAUGAACUCCGGAUUUAACUUAAAUUAAAACUUCUAUUCUCAAUUUCACAUUGACCCCAAAUUGCCUUUUCUUCACCCAUUUCUGAGUCUGAAAAGUGGUGGUUUUUGUUCACCGAACCCACUGUUUUAAUGCCUCAAACCCCCAUUUUUCACCCCAAAAUCCCCUCUAAACCCCCAUUUUUCACCCCCCAUCCCCUCAAAAACUCCCCAAACCCCCAUUUUUCACCCCAAAAUCCCCUCAAAAGCCCCAUUUUCCACCCCAAAACCACCCCAAAAUCCCCUCCAAACCCCCACAGCCCCCAUUUUCCACCCCAAAACCCCCCCAAACCGCCAUUUUCCUACCCCAGAAUCCCCAUUUUCCACCCCAAAACCACCCCAAAAUCCCCUCUAAACCCUCAAACCCCCCAAUUUCCACCCCAAACCCCCAUUUUUCACCCCAAAACCUCCCCCGAACCCCCCAUUUCCCACCCAAAAAUCCCCCAAACCCCAAUUUCUACCCCAAAACCCCCCACAACCCACCCAUUUUCCACCCCAAAACCACCCCAAAAUCCCUUCCAAACCCUCAACCCCCCCAAUUUCCACCCCAAACCCCCCUUUUCCACCCCAAAAUCCCCUCCAAACCCCCAACCCCCCCAUUUUUCUACCCCAAACCCCCAUUUUCCACCCCAAAAUCCCCCCAACCCCCCCAUUUUCCACCCCAAAACCACCCCAAAAUCCCUUCCAAACCCUCAACCCCCCCAUUUUCCACCCCAAACCCCCCCCAAACCGCCAUUUUCCUACCCCAGAAUCCCCAUUUUCCACCCCAAAACCACCCCAAAAUCCCCUCUAAACCCUCAAACCCCCCAAUUUCCACCCCAAACCCCCAUUUUUCACCCCAAAACCUCCCCCGAACCCCCCAUUUCCCACCCAAAAAUCCCCCAAACCCCAAUUUCUACCACAAAACCCCCCACAACCCACCCAUUUUCCACCCCAAAACCACCCCAAAAUCCCCUCCAAACCCCCAUAGCCCCCAAUUUCCACCCCAAACCCCCCUUUUCCACCCCAAAAUCCCCUCCAAACCCCCAACUCCCCCAUUUUUCUACCCCAAACCCCCAUUUUCCACCCCAAAAUCUCCCCAACCCCCCCAUUUUCCACCCCAAAACCACCCCAAAAUCCCUUCCAAACCCUCAACCCCCCCAUUUUCCACCCCAAAAUCCCCCCCAAACCCCCAACCCCCCCAUUUUUCACCCCAAAACCACCCCAAAAUCCCCUCCAAACCCCCACAGCCCCCAUUUUCCACCCCAAAACCCCCCCAAACCGCCAUUUUCCUACCCCAAAAUCCCCAUUUUCCACCCCAAAACCACCCCAAAAUCCCCUCUAAACCCUCAAACCCCCCAAUUUCCACCCCAAACCCCCAUUUUUCACCCCAAAACCUCCCCCGAACCCCCCAUUUCCCACCCAAAAAUCCCCCAAACCCCAAUUUCUACCCCAAAACCCCCCACAACCCACCCAUUUUCCACCCCAAAACCACCCCAAAAUCCCCUCCAAACCCCCAUACCCCCCAAUUUCCACCCCAAACCCCCAUUUCCCCCCCAAACCCCCCAAAACCCCCCCCCAAAAAGACCCCCACAGCGCUUCAGGCUCUAUUUAUUACUACAGACAGAGGAACACAGCGACCGACAACAGCCAAAAAUGCCCUUUUUUUUCCCCCCCAAAGUCCCCAUUUUUGCCCAUUUUCGCCCUUUUUCACCCCAAUUUUCGGCCCCUCCGUCCUCUUUCCCCCCCCCCCCCCCUCCACCCCAUUCUUUACCAUUUCCCCUCCAUCGCAACGGCCGUUUUUAACCCUUUUUAACCUUUUUUUUUUUACCCCUUUUCGCGCCCCAAACCCACCCAAAAUCGCCGUUUUUUCACCCAAUUUUGGGCCGAAAACCCCUCGUUUGCCAUAUAACCCCAUUGGGGCGGCGUGUGGGGGAGGGGGGGGGAAGAAAACCCCAAACCCCCCCCCACCCCAAAUCCCACUUUUUCAG
ensembl:lncRNA